CAACAUGACUCUCGGCAACGGAUAUCUCGGCUCUCGCAUCGAUGAAGAACGUAGCAAAAUGCGAUACCUGGUGUGAAUUGCAGAAUCCCGUGAACCAUCGAGUUUUUGAACGCAAGUUGCGCCCGAGGCCUUCUGGUCGAGGGCACGCCUGCCUGGGCGUCACGC
rnacentral:rRNA from 1 species